UACGGGGGGGAGCAAGCGUUGUUCGGAUUUAUUGGGCGUAAAGAGCGUGUAGGCGGCUUGGUAGGUCCGCUGUGAAAACUCGAGGCUCAACCUCGAGAUGUCGGCGGAAACCACUUGGCUAGAGUCCGGAAGAGGAGAGUGGAAUUCCCGGUGUAGCGGUGAAAUGCGCAGAUAUCAGGAAGAACACCCGUGGCGAAGGCGGUUCUCUGGGACGGUACUGACGCUGAGACGCGAAAGCGUGGGGAGCAAACAGG
rnacentral:rRNA from 1 species